rnacentral:lncRNA from 1 species
AAGAACUGCUGAGCAUAGGAAUCAAAGAACAAUGGUUAAGAAUGUUGGCCUCAGAGUCAGACUCUCCAGAGUUAAAUCCAGGCUCUGUCACUUGGGAAGAUGUUUAGACAUUUUAAGCCUCGGUUUCUCUUCUGCAGAAUGGGAAUGAUAAUACUGAUAACUGCAACUAAUAAUAAUAAUAUACGUCACGGUGUUACAAAUAGCAAAGGAAUGCUGUACGUAAAAAGUUAGUAACAUUUGUACACAGAGCAGUCCCUUGGUGUCGAGGUGGGCACUGUUGAUGCCUUUGUGCUCCACUGAACGUCCCAGAAGCUCUCAAGAGCCAAGGAGGUGUGCUUGGAGGCAUUGGGGGCUGGGAUCCAAGCUCCACUCAGAAAUCCCUUCAACCAGAAUAGCACCUCGGCUUGCUUAAAAUUCUUAUUUCCUUUUAAUUUGUCUACCAUCUAGAGAAACCACUGCUCAUCUGCCAGCCUCACAGCCAGAGCCACUUCAGCUACCAUCCCAGAAAAGUCCACCUAUCAGGAUUCUGGGCAUUUUCCUCAGAGACCCCUGGGCUUCCUUUCUAAAUAAAUGGUUCAUUCACCACAAAGAAAAAUCACAAGGAUGUGCAUGCUUGCUACAGAGGGUCCCUCUCCUGGAAUCAACAGCCCCAGCCACAUGUUCAUUGGUGCGACUACACUCAGCCACCUGUGAACACUGUUUCCAGGCCCCCAGGUUGAACGCCCUCCCUGCUUGCCUCCUCACUGAUAUACUUUGAGAUUCUAGUGACAGGCCUCUGACAAAAGACAGGAGGCAGCUUGAGGACUAGAAGCAGGGUUUGGAGAGAUUGACCCCGACUUGGCUUUGGGAAAAUGAGUCCUAUGUCUGAUUGACAAAGAAUGUGAUUUGGGAAAUAACUCCGUACUCCUUCCCACCACUGGGCCUAAAUCAGGCUUGGCUUGGCAAGACAGGGACAUGGACAGGGAGCCUUCAGAUGGGAGGGAAGGGAUGGGAGGGGAGGGAGCCGAGCCAGAGGGCUGUGUGAUCUCUGGGAUGAGGUACAGUCAGAGGCAAUAAGGCAAGGGGGCGCCCAUGCUCAGUAGGUUAAGCAUCUCCCUUUGGCUCAGGUCAUGACCCCACGGUCCUGGGAUCGAGCCUCAGGUCAGGCUCCCUGCUCAGCAGGGGUGUGCUUCUCCCUCUCCCUCUGCUCCUCCCCCCUGCUCCUGUGUUCUCUCUCUCUCUCUCUCUUGCUCUGCUCUCUCUCAAAGAAAUAAAUAAAAUCUAAAAAAAUAAAUAAAUAAACCAAGGCAGAACAUGAGUCCUGAAAGCCAACUACCUGUUUUGUCUUCCUCAAGGCCUCUGCCACAUUUGAGCCUCUGGACCCCAAGCCCGGCCUGACCAACCUUGGCUUCACCCUCAGAGCUCACUGUGAACACUGGUUAGCCUAUCUGUAUCCACCGGCCCCCAUCAUAAACACCACCACCACCAGUCUCCAUACUUGGUCUUAGAGUCAUGCUUACCUGGGCUGAGCUUACGGGCAAGAGUUCUGGUUCUGAGCCCUGCUGACAGC